rnacentral:rRNA from 1 species
GUAGGGUGCGAGCGUUAAUCGGAAUUACUGGGCGUAAAGCGUGCGCAGGCGGUUCGUUAAGUCAGCUGUGAAAGCCCCGGGCUCAACCUGGGAAUUGCGGUUGAAACUGGCGGACUAGAAUCUGGCAGAGGGGGGUGGAAUUCCACGUGUAGCAGUGAAAUGCGUAGAGAUGUGGAGGAACACCGAUGGCGAAGGCAGCCCCCUGGGCUGAGAUUGACGCUCAGGCACGAAAGCGUGGGGAGCAAACAGGAUUAGAUACCCUGGUAGUCCACGCCCUAAACGAUGUCAACUAGGUGUUGGGGGAGCAAUCUCUCAGUACCGCAGCUAACGCGUGAAGUUGACCGCCUGGGGAGUACGGUCGCAAGRUUA